rnacentral:tRNA from 1 species
AUUUAAAUAGUUUAAUUAAAAUAUUGAUUUGUGGUGUCAAAGAUAUGAUAUAUUCAUUUUAGAUU